rnacentral:rRNA from 1 species
UGGGGAAUCUUGCACAAUGGGGGAGACCCUGAUGCAGCGACGCCGCGUGAACGAUGAAGCCCUUCGGGGUGUAAAGUUCUUUCGACAGGAACGAUAAUGACGGUACCUGGAGAAGAAGCUGCGGCUAACUACGUGCCAGCAGCCGCGGUAAUACGUAGGCAGCGAGCGUUGUUCGGAGUUACUGGGCGUAAAGAGUGCGUAGGCGGCGAGCCAAGUUUGGUGUGAAAUCUCCCGGCUUAACCGGGAGGGUGCGCCGAAAACUGGUUGGCUGGAGUAUGGGAGAGGAAAGCGGAAUUCCUGGUGUAGCGGUGAAAUGCGUAGAUAUCAGGAGGAACACCGGCGGUGUAGACGGCUUGCUAGACCAUAACUGACGCUGAGGCACGAAAGCGUGGGUAGCAAACA